CUUCCCCUCCCCCCCCUCCUGCUCAGGAGCGGGGAAAUGAACGAGCGGGCCCUGGUAUCGCUCAGGGAGGGUCGUAGGAGCUCCUCGCCGUCGCCUGAGUGCCGGUUCAAAUACGCGGCGCAGGGUGAGCCUCUGCUGUAAUGGCAACGGAAAGGAAUGACACCGUGCCUGCCUCAGAUAUGGUAUCUGCCAACGUGACCUUAUUUUGCAAUAACUUUUAGCAUAAUAGAAUGCAAGGUCGGAAGAGAUCUUAGAGAUCACGUAAAUGACCCCCAUACCCAGUGCUACUACUACAAUCACAGUGUCACUGAGAGACAUCCAGCCCGUUAAAUGACUCCAGCAAGAGUAUAUUAUCUCACACAGUAGUGAGUUCUAAGGUCACCUGAUGGCUGAAGAAUUAGCAAAGGCUGAUUUAAAAUGAAUUAGAUAGAAGCUGAAGGGACCCUGCUGGAAGAUCCUCCUUGUGAAUCAGCUUCUCAAACUCAAGACCAGGUACUGUACUGCUUUAAAACACAUAUAUCAGAGCUGUCAAACUCACAGCCCAUGGGCCAGAUGUGUCACAUGUUGGCCACACUCACGCCUGAUUUAGUGAAGGGAGGGGGAAGUCGCAAUGUCACAUGAUGUCGUGAGUUUGACCCCUCCUAACAUAGAUAUAAACUCUUAUUUCUUCUGGCUUUAUCAUAUUAAGUGAUGGUAACCUAUUAAUGAAACGUUUUGUUCCUGAAUAUCCAAUCCGUUUUUAUUUGUUGUGGAAAAAGGCUCUUACAUUAUAGGAAACUGAUUUUAUGUAUGUAUAUAUAAUGUAAAUAUGUAUACAUCAUACAUACACACACAUUUAUGUAUGUAUAUAUGUAUAUGUACAUAUGUAUGUUUUAAAGCUGUUUUUAAGAACUUAAAGACCUAGAAAACAAAAAUGUGUGUGUGUGUAGUAUUUAGUAUAAACCAUGAAAUAGCUAGUGAAGCAUCACAACCAAAGCACAGUAUGUAAAUCACAUGGUUUGCUGAUUGAACUGCAAACUUCUACAUAUAUAUGUACCAAGCCUUUGUUUAAAAACAAUAUAUAUCAGGAUUACAUCUUAAACUUAGCAUUUGCCAAAAACAUAGGUACUUCCAACAUACUUUAUUUGGAUUUCAGCAAUACUGUUUUGGAAUUGAGAUAACUGAUUUACUUCUAAAUUAUAAUUAUUUUACAUUUUAGAAG